rnacentral:rRNA from 1 species
GAUUCUUCGGAUGAUUUUCAGUUGACUGAGCGGCGGACGGGUGAGUAACGCGUGGGUGACCUGCCCCAUACCGGGGGAUAACAGCUGGAAACGGCUGCUAAUACCGCAUAAGCGCACAGAGCCGCAUGGCUCGGUGUGAAAAACUCCGGUGGUAUGGGAUGGGCCCGCGUCUGAUUAGGCAGUUGGCGGGGUAACGGCCCACCAAACCGACGAUCAGUAGCCGGCCUGAGAGGGCGACCGGCCACAUUGGGACUGAGACACGGCCCAAACUCCUACGGGAGGCAGCAGUGGGGAAUAUUGCACAAUGGGGGAAACCCUGAUGCAGCGACGCCGCGUGAGCGAAGAAGUAUUUCGGUAUGUAAAGCUCUAUCAGCAGGGAAGAUAAUGACGGUACCUGACUAAGAAGCCCCGGCUAACUACGUGCCAGCAGCCGCGGUAAUACGUAGGGGGCAAGCGUUAUCCGGAUUUACUGGGUGUAAAGGGAGCGUAGACGGCAAGGCAAGUCUGAUGUGAAAACCCAGGGCUUAACCCUGGGACUGCAUUGGAAACUGUCUGGCUCGAGUGCCGGAGAGGUAAGCGGAAUUCCUAGUGUAGCGGUGAAAUGCGUAGAUAUUAGGAAGAACACCAGUGGCGAAGCGGCUUACUGGACGGUAACUGACGUU